rnacentral:tRNA from 1 species
GAGAGUGCUAACUUAUAUUGAAAGUGUUAGAUUUUUAAUCUGAAAAAGGGUUUUCCG